UAUGAGUUCUUAUUGGCUUGCACUUUAGUGUUUCAAUCCUGAGCCAAUUCAUUUUAAUUGAUUUUGAUGCUAUGAUCUUUAAAGGAGUAAAAGAAAGUCUUUAAGAGAGCUCUAAAAGAACUUUCAAAGCCUUGAAUUUUAUGUAUCAUACACUGCAUAAAUUCAUGUUUUGGUAUCUAUGCCCCAAUACUUUUAUAUCAUGAAAGAACUUUGAAGUCAUUAAGAAUUUAGGAUUCAACAUAAUCUUAUAUUUUUCGAGUAUAUAAGGUUUGAUCUUUAUUUGCUCUUAUACUAUACUCUGAAAAUUAAUUAGAUUGCUCUCAUCUUGCUAUAUACUUAAUAUAUAUAUAUAUAAAAGGUGUUGAAUUUUCAUUCGUGCCUUCUUUGAAUAUUAUUCUUGAUA
rnacentral:lncRNA from 1 species